rnacentral:rRNA from 1 species
CAAUAGCGUAUAUUAAAGUUGUUGCAGUUAAAAAGCUCGUAGUUGGAUUUCGGUUAAGAGCGACCGGUCCGCCGUUUGGUGUGCACUGGUUGGUUUUAACUUCCUGUAGAGGACGUGCUCUGGGUUUAACGACCUGGACUCGGAGUCUACGUGGUUACUUUGAAAAAAUUAGAGUGUUCAAAGCGGGCUUACGCUUGAAUAUUUCAGCAUGGAAUAACACUAUAGGACUCCUGUCCUAUUUCGUUGGUCUCGGGACGGGAGUAAUGAUUAAGAGGAACAGUUGGGGGCAUUCGUAUUUCAUUGUCAGAGGUGAAAUUCUUGGAUUUAUGAAAGACGAACUUCUGCGAAAGCAUUUGCCAAGGAUGUUUNCAUUAA